GGAAGAAUACCUAGGGAUAGCUGCCAAGUUUCUGCUUGUGUUCCAUUUUAAGGUUCAGAGAAUGAAAGAAGUAGGUGUGAACACUGCAACAUCAUAUGCUUUGAUGGAGUUCAUGAACUUAAUGUGUGCAUUUAAGAUGUGCAAGGAGACACAGCUACCCAGGACACAAAGCUUGUUUCAUGCUCAGUGGGCAAUCAGCCUACAAGAAGAGCUAAGAAAGGGUCAUGGCUCAGGCCCAGCCCCUCUGGGGACCAAGGUACCCAGUGACAUGACUGGUUCAGUGCCUGUGCCACACAGCAUUCAGAGCUGUGAGAGUGGAGAAGGCUCUACCACUUUCUUCAGAAAACUUCUCGCAACAUCCCAUUAUGAAGGGUGAAUUGGUGCCCAACCAUACUCAGGAGAACAUCUGGAGAAGAUAGAACAGGGAUGGUGCAGAUUCAGCUUGCAGAUUCUGCUGGCAGAAAUAACAGAUAAGAAAACAGUUAUCAAACAGAAGUCUGUUCUUCUACCCCUGCCCCCUUUGUGUGGAGAAAUAGGAGAAAGCAGGGUAAGAAAAACACUCCUUGGAGAGAAAAACUCUUCCAAAUUUACUUUAAUUUUGCUAAGCGGGCACUGUUGUUAUUGAAAGCUGCUUGCCUAGAAGAACAACUGCUCUUGAGAACUCUUGAGAGCAUGUGAAGAAAUCUGGAGUUGAUUUGUGUAAGAGGGAGGAACAAUCUGUUUCACUUCACCAGCAUCGUGCAGUUUCGAUGUUACAACAUCCACUUGUUAGAGAAGCUCUGUACAAAAGCUAAUGUUUCUUCAUGGCUAGAGGUGGGCUGAGGUUCCUUCAUCAGUUAAUUUCUGAAUGUUGGGUGUCUGAAGAACACUUCUGGAAACCAGAUUUGCAGGAGGGGAGAGCAAAAUACUUCAUGUUUCAGAAGAACCUAGACAGAUUUUUCCAAAUGCGUCUCUACUUGUUUGUCAUUCACACUGACGUAUGGACCCCCUUCCCUCCCCUCUUUUUGGUAAAGUGACAGUGAGAUUCAGAUGCCUAUACGAGAGCUUGCAGCAGCUGUUUUGGAUGUCCUCAAGAUGUAAGAAGGUCCCAGCAGAGCAGGCCGAUGUGAUGGAGGAUGAAAGAAAAUUGACCUUCUGGAGAUUUGAUUGGGCACCAAGCAGGACAACAUGAGGCAAGUGAAUCCUAACCUUUAUUGUGUUCAUAUUCUCCUAAUGAAAAAAUGCUGUAAUUCAGCAUUAAUAAUAAGAUACAGCAUUAGCUAAACAAGAUCAUACGAUCUUGUGUGAAGCAACUGUACCUCAAAAUCAGCUCUAGUGACAGUCAAAGUGGGACUUACAAUACACCAGUCUACAACUUCCAACAAAGGUGGCACAAGCCUUGCGAUACUUCCUGUAUCUGCGAGGAGAUCUCAAAUCCAUCCAUACAAGGUACAGUGGCACUGUUAUACUUGGCUUUCAUCCUAGCAACUUGAAACACUUCAUUACAAAAUGUUUCACAGCUUCUGAAGAGUAUAAAACACUGAAAUGAGCUAUCGGGCAUAUUUUAUCUACUACUGGCUGGUAUAUUCCAGGAAAGACCUCUUAUUCUCGAUAGUGGGUAGAAGCAGCAAAUGGGAGAGAGUAAAGCAUCUGCAUACAAAAGGCAGUUUAAACUUCCUAAAGUGGGGAGAAAAAAAAAACACAAAAAUAUGAUGAGAUUGAAAACUUUCUUUUUUUUUAAUGCAAUAGUAGCUAUGAAUAGAUAAAGCAGCCUGCAAGCUUCUGACCAUACUGUAUCACGGGAGGAUAACUGCCUUGCAUGGGAAAUCAAUGAUGCUGUAGCACUGCACUUUUGCUUUGGAGGAACACUGCUGGAAGCACCUAAGAUUCAUAUUGCUCACUGCCUUUCUUUCCUCACUCCAGAUAUGUCUCUUAAUUUUCCACCACUAGGUAAAUAAUAAAGGACCUGCAUAUAACAGAGAUUUAAUAAAUAGCAAAGAUGUGGGAUAUAUGAAAGAUUGAGUGCAAAAAAAAAAAAGAUUCUGGAUCUGUUCAAUUAGUUUGAUUAUAUUUUAUUAGAAAGCUCAGCCAAUACAAAUGAUUCUUGUUCACUACCAGCCAGUUUAAAGUGUGGUGUUUCAUUGUAAUUCAUAUAGAUGUUUUCUGUCCAGUUAAAUAUAAACUCCUUGGGUAAGUACUGCUACUUUUCGUGUAUUGAAUGUUAAGAAGCAUAAGCAGCACCAGCAAUGCUUCAGUGUAAGUCAAUAUACAUACACGUUUACAUUUCAGACAUUAAAAGGAAAAAUUAAAUUAAUGUACCAGUUGCAUUUUAAGCUCUACUUGCUUUUAGUAGUAAUUGAGAUGAAUGGUUAAUUUAAAUCUAUUUCCAAAGUUAAGGCUGAAAGCAUUUCAUUUAUAUUCAACAAUAACCAACAUAGUAUGGCAUUUUACCAAAACAUGGGACACCUCAAAAACAGAAGACUUAUUCGAUUUCUUGUUGACAGAAUUGACAGCUCUUUGCUACUGUUGUUGCCAAAAUGAAUAUGCUAAUUUACUUUUUAAUUCUGUAGCAAGUGUGAAAAUACUCCACUGUGAAAAAUAAAAAUACUUUUUUAUUAUGUAUCUUAAACGGAAAUGUCUUCGAACAUUGUAUUUUUAGUUAUACAUAGUGAAUAAAAAAGCUGCUGGUGGCAGUAUUUUUAAGUAGCUGACUUCAUCACUUAAUUAAAUGCAGAACAGUAUUCUGGAUAAGUUUAAAGUAGAUAGCUAACGUAAAUCAGAUGAUAAAACUGGCGUGCAUGAAACAAAUAAUGGCUAAGGCAUCUUAAUAUUCUCAAUUUCUAUAUAUCUUAUUGUAAUCUUAACUUGAGCAUGUGUUAAAUGCACAGACAUAUUCAGCAAUGGUCUUCUCGGAGCCUCCACAGAGCUAGGCAGCACAUAGUCACCACUGCUCUCACUUCUGUAAUCCGCAGCACAGGCAGGCUACGUGUUGUUUUCAUAUAGGAGUUCUCCAGAAGAGACAAACCAGAAGCCAUUUGAAAUUCUGCCCUACUGAAACCUGCAGUUGUAUUGCUACCGUAGUACUUCUGUGGCUUUAUGGAUGGAAAACAGAAUACGUACCACUCUGACUAAACCUAUGGGACUGGAAACAUUAGAAGUGCACAUGCUGUAUUUCAAGAGAGUCUUUUUCUUUUAAUGAACAAGUACGAAUAUUGAUUACCCAAACAGCAAAAUGUACAAAACAAUGCAUGUGUUUGCAAGUUAGAAGAUAGAGGAAAGUUUAUGAGGUUAGAGGUAAAAAAAUACUUUUUAAAUGUGUAUGACUCAAAUAUAUUCUGUGAAAAUUGUAUUUUUCACUGUAGCUUUUAAAUUUAAGUGCUGUUAAGAACAAGAAACAAAAUAGAUAAAUUUUAUGUUCAAUAUAUCUCAAUUUUGUCUUCUCUACAUAAUUGUUGGUAAUAUUUUUUCUAUGCUGAGAUUUCUUUCUUUCCCUCUUUCUUCCUGUUUUCUGCCAGAAGUGGCAUAUGAGAAACAUCAUUUUCAUCUUGCACUGAAGAACGUGAAAUGAAGCCAGUGCAAACCCUACUUCUCUAGAAGGUUCUAGUUCACUAUAGAGGUUUUUUCAGGAGCCUGGCAGAACUAUCACUCUCUCUAGGUACAGAUAUCUUUGCUCAGUGCUAGAACUUUCAUCUUUUCUGAAUAAAAGUCCAUGUAUCAGGACAUAAAGAAGCAGUAUGUACAGACACUGCACAUCAGUGGAAAUUACCUACUUAAAGUAAAAUAUAGUAGGUCAUCUGUGGUAAUAUUGAACACUGAUGGAACACACCCUACAAUGUACUGAUGUGUAUCUUUGUCGUGCAUAACUAUGACUAUUUGGUACUCACAGGGAAGCCAAACACAGGGAAUAGCCAUCCCUUCACUAACUACUGAGAGUUAAAUGAAAUGAUUAAUACUUAACAAAACAGUUCCAUAGAUAGGUACACCUGGCAUAGAGAGUAGAUAGGUAAGUUUUUAGCAUGAACAUUUAAAGAACUUGAAGUGGUCAUUGGAACAAACUCACAUACGCGCUACUAUGGCUUCUGUUUGAAAAGUUAGCUGUCAGUAUGGCUUAACAUCAAAGGAAAUAGCUUUUCAACAGUUGUCAAGCAUCACAGACUCUGAAUAUUGUUGAUGUUCUUGAUAUUUUCAGUCUGGCUCUAGACAUUACUCUGUUCAUAUUUUAGUCACCUUGGAGAGAUGAAUGAAUUUCAGUUAUCCAUCUGGUAGUGGCCUCAUCUACUGCAUCACAGUUACAGCUGCUACUGUCUUGUACACUGUGAAUGAAUCGACAACAGUCCUGGAGUAGUAUUUUUCCUCGGAUGACUGUAAGGGGUAAGGGAAGAACUGCUUCCUUUCCUGAAGAAGGGUAAUAUAGCACGUUGUUGCCUUCCCGUUAUAGAAAGCAUUUCAGGAAGCUGAUGACAUCCAACUGUAUAUGCCUACGAUUAUGUCAACAGAGAUGCUUUAACUAAAAGAAUGUUUCCCAGUAGUCAUCAGCCUUCAGCACUCCUACUUCCCAAGCUGCUAUCAGAUAUGAACACUAUAGCAGCAAUUGAAUUUGCUUUUUACGAUCAGUGCAAGGCCUUUAUUGCUGUAGACAGACUGCUGCUGGCAUUAUCAUAUUUUUUCUUAUUUCAAGAUUAGAUUAAUGCAAUAAAACUUCACCUUUAAAAAUAAGCUGCCGGAGAAUACUACAGUUUAUAUGACAUGAGAAAGACUACCUAGAUAAAAUGCAGGAAUUAAAGAUAAGGACCUCUACUCGUGUUCAGACAGAAACUAAUGAGUUAUGUAGUUACCCGAAGAACCUUGACAAGUCAUAGGACCUGUUCAGUGUCCAACAAACAAACUAAAACAACAACAAACAUGCCUGCCCCCACCACUACUAUACAAUCUCCCUCCCAACCCACAAGCCCUAUUUACCCAGCCCUGCCCCCUCUCUAUUUCUUCCCUCCUGGGAAACUCCAAAGUUCAAUCCAAAGCAGGAGUAUUUCUGCUUCCUCGGUAGAUGAGGUUGCAGGCAGGCCAGUCUUCUUGGGAGCUAUACCUUCACUUAGCUCUUGAAGCAGAACUAAUUCAACCUUCAUCUCCGAUGCAUUCUUAAUCCCCCUUUCCUGGUAGUGUAGGAAGGUGGAGGAAGAUAGAACACAAGGUAUGCAGAAAGGCUUUUAUGUAGAUUUUCUGUUUUUGCAGGAUAGUUGAUGAAGAAAGAUGUCAUACUGAUUUACUUAUUUAAAACUAAUGGUGCGUUAUCUACAUUUUGUCACAGCAUUCAGCUUUUCCAAGGGCAUUCUUCCAAUGAUUUAAAUUCAGACUUCAGGCACUCAUGACAAAAUAAAAGAUGAGAGGUAUUCCCUAAGUCAUUUAUCCUUAAUUACGCAGGCAGCCUCAGCAUGUAGCUCUGCCUCCAUUUUUGUACCGUUCAGAUUAGAAAAACAAUUCAGAUUAAGGCAUGGCAAAGCAGAGCUUGAAUUUGCAUUGAAAUGCACGAGUGAGUCCAGUAACUGCUGGUGUGCAACAUCUUAUUCACCAGUAAAUAAAUGGAAAAUAGCUUAGUAUAAGAUGUAUUGUUCUGAGUAGGCAAGACAACGGACAUUUAUUUCAUAUCUCCUGUUGGUAUUUCUUACCUUAUAUUGUGUGCUCGCUUCAUCUGCUCAUAUCCAAGCAGUGGAAGCACUUUAUGUGCAGGAAGCAAUAAUGAAGCGGUAUGGGACAGCUGUACCGAAUCUUCUGAAAAAAAAAAGUCUCCAUAUGCUAUUUUUAGUGUCAGAAUUGGUAGUCCAAAAUAAUCCCUCUGACAUUAUCUAAGUUCACCUAAUUGUAAGACACAGCCUGCAGUCUGACACAGGCGGCCUCAAUCAGAUCAGAGCAUUCAGUGAGCAGUUUUCCCACUCGCUGGUCAAAAACUAGCAGAUCAAUGAAGGGCUAUAAAAAUGCACCACCCUUCAGGCUGGUCCGUAAUAAGCAGAAGAGGACGACAGUUUAGGUCGGCACGUAAGGUUUGGUUUUGCUCAUCGGGCUUUUAAAACAAGAGAGGAAUGGAGCAAACACAACCUUGUUAUUAAAUGGAAGCAGCACUGUGUCACCAUCCAUAGCCACGCUGCAGGGUGCUGCAACAGAGGGACCAGCGACCCACGUUUAAAGAAAGCAAAACAAAACAGUAGCCUGCGAAGCUGCUACUCUCUUUGAUAAUAGAGGUGAUAACAAAAAAAAAAAAAAAAAACGACGGAAGCAAUAAAAGUCUUAUCUUACAAAAACCAUUAAAUUUUACUUUACAUAAAGCAAACCCGGAAGUGCAAUACAAAUUAUUGUGUCUGGAUAAAGAGUUGUACGUGUUUAAAUGAGAACGAUCCAACAGACGCUGGAAGGACAGCAGACACCCAAGGCACUCUCACUACGAUGGGAACUACGCUUUCUCUGCAUUCUCGCCCACGCUUUGUGUCGAGAAGCGGGACAGCAGCUCGGCAACACCCAGUAACGCCGCACACCAGUCAGGAAGGCAUCGCGGCGCUGCUUUCGGUGCUGGAAGCACUAUUCACCCUGACUUAACCCAGCGCUUUCAUCUUCUUCAAAUGCCGCGCAGCACGCGUGGAAAUAACAGGCGAAUUCUUUGGGAGUUCCAAGCGGUACGUCCGCUUUUACGCUCCUAGCAGAACCGACUGUUUCCAGCCAGCUAAACGAAGCGUGAAGCGGUUUUUACUGCGCUUUAUGACCGCUUACUGCACGCCGCCUCAUCGCCUCAGCGACGGCCUCGCAGGGAAGCGGCGCGCGAAGAGCCGCGCAGAGCCCCGCGUCCCGCCGCCCGCCCGCCAGAAGCGGAGAUGCCGGGGUCCCUCUGCGGCCCCCGACGCCGCAGGCGGACGUUAAACGGCUCCCAACGGCGAGAGGACGGCGGCCCGGCUGAGGAGCCGGAGAGGAGGGUGGCUCGCUGCAGCCCCUUCUCCGCGCCCUUUACCCCGAGGCCGAGAGUCCCCACGCGCCGUCCCGUACCUCAGCCCGCGCCGCUCCCCGCUCCAGUCGCGCGGCCGCUUUAAGGAUUACAAAUCGCUCCUCGCGCCGCGCCGCCGCGCGCACCGUUGCCCCCCCCCCUUCCCC
ensembl:lncRNA